GCAUUAAGUCAGAACCGGCACUUUUCUGCUCGGAGUUGAAAUUUUUUCAAAGUGCUCCUACCAAAACGUGAGGCACAGUGGGUGUCUAAAAGGCUGCUCUAAGCUGUCUCACUUCGGUCCCUCUGAGAACUGAGGUUUCAAAGAGACUGGACGUUCCCCUUCGGUCACUUCGUGAGACACAGCUCACAUAUGGAGAUGUUGAAAAGGUGAAUGUGAAAAGGCUAUAAAGCAACCUGCGUCUUGCCCAGUGAAACCCCAUAGGCAAAGCCUACAUGCCACCAGGCCCUGUUCGCAAAACGACGGUUUUACUGCGCAAACAACGCUUUAUCCAGUAUAGCAGUCGAAAAUCCGUCCGCUCACUGGGCAAGACGGGCAGGUCUAAUGCCAUUGUUCAUGGAUGGUGCCAGAUAGCUAGCUAGGGACUGCUCAACACUGGGGCAUUGAUGCCAGGCACAUUUGUUGGUUGUUUCCAUGUUCUGGAACAGAUGGAAGCCUAAAGUUGGGCCUCGAGCUGAGUAGGAUCUGUCCCAUGUUGCUGACGCAUAGCAGUGACAUCAUCAACUUAGUCAGGGAAGGGUGGAAUUCCAUGCCAGGAUAAAGACUGCAUCUCGGGGAGGAGUUUGCCAUCCAUCCAAUUCCUUUAUGGUGGUGCAGGGGCUACUGACCAAUCAACCCCUAGGUGUACUGCAGCCCUGAGGCAGGUGUCCAGAGAAUCUGGCCUAGCCUGUAGUGUGCUGGCCGUCUGGAG
ensembl:lncRNA